rnacentral:misc_RNA from 1 species
CACCACCCCAUCUCUGACCAUGAGGCCACCCUGAGGUGCUGGGCCCUGGGCUUCUACCCUGCGGAGAUCACGCUGACCUGGCAGCGGGAUGGGGAGGAACAGACCCAGGACACAGAGCUUGUGGAGACCAGGCCUGCAGGGGAUGGAACCUUCCAGAAGUGGGCCGCUGUGGUGGUGCCUUCUGGAGAGGAACAGAGAUACACAUGCCAUGUGCAGCACGAGGGGCUGCCCCAGCCCCUCAUCCUGAGAUGGGAGCAGUCUCCCCAGCCCACCAUCCCCAUCGUGGGCAUCGUUGCUGGCCUUGUUGUCCUUGGAGCUGUGGUCACUGGAGCUGUGGUCGCUGCUGUGAUGUGGAGGAAGAAGAGCUCAGAUAGAAACAGAGGGAGCUACUCUCAGGCUGCAGGAAAGUUGACUCAUACUGGUGUCCAGUGAAGAAACCCAGGCGCAUAAGAGGGACAGUUGGAUCUCAGGGAGGACUGUCUUCUUCUCACCUCCCCGGACGAUGCUUCUUGACACAGGAAAGAGGAUGUGCUGCUAGGGUCAUCAUGUCCUGGUUUAUUGUGUUGUCAGUAGAAUGAAAUCAAAAUACAUACUCCAUAAAUAAUAAAAUAACCCAUAAUAAG